ACACAGUGUGAAUGAGUCAAGGAUGGAUUGGAGAGCUCCCUGGGAAAUAUGGAUUUCAUUUUUUCCAGGAACACAAGCAUGCAGGAAGGUCUACCAGAGAGAGUAAAGUAGGACCCCAGUUUGUUUUUAUUGUUUGCAACUGCCAGGUGCUGAAGUGGGGGCAGAGCAAGACCAGGAAGAAAUCUGCUGCUGUAAAAGGUUGUACAGAUAGCAGAAAAAAAUGUGAACGAGACCCAGAUUCCAGAACUGCCUAUAAAAUUGUAAGAAAUCUCUCUCUUGUGAAAUUUUUCAUACAAGAAUGUGAGCUCAGAGCCUGGGGAUCUUCAUGCUGAAGAUGCUAUGCAGGUCCCAUCAAGCAACUUUCCUGAACUCCACAGCACAACCUGUUUAAAACCACAACUAGAAAAUGGAUCACCUUUCGUUUUCUCAUCUGUUGUCUUACUUCUCUCUGAGGAUCUUAUACAGUAGUAAUUUAGUGGAAUUGUCUGGGGCAUAUCCAAUGUAUUCGCAGAGUCAAUUGUGCCUACUACUCAGGUCUUCACCAGCCCUUCUUUAACAGGACAUAAAACUGGGAGAUUUAGUGAUGCAUGUGGCCCUGUCCAAGGACUACGCCAGGCUCAAGGACUUCCACAGCUUUCUCACGACCACACACUGCCUCAACAAUUUGUAACACCAACACUGUGAAAGCCAUCCAGGAAAUGGAAGAACUAACAAGUUCUACAUCAAACUAACACCUUUUGGUUUCCAGAGUAGGGCCUGUGGAGGGGCUAGUCCUAGUACUGAGAUAGAGAUACAGGAAUACCUUCCAACUGAAAACAAGCCAUGACAAAAUGGACAGAAUUGAAAAGGCACUACAACUUCUAAUGAACAAAAAUAUUAAGCAGCCAUUGGCCAGUCAACUGGCAAAUUGUCCAGGGGCACCCUGCACACUAAAGCUAUCGGGUCAGCAGCCAUCCUGUGAGCAUUAUCAGAUACUCCACCAUCCUGAGGAACCACAGAAUGAAGACAAGGCAACUAAUGGGGGAGAACAACAAGAAACAGCUGUCAGAUUACUCCCAUCAAGGGAACUGAAUCAGCUUCAGGGACAUUUUGCACAAAACAGUGAUCAUUGUUGCAGGACUCAACUCUCCCAGCCUGUCUAGCCCUGAAUCCUAAACUCUAAAAUCUACAAGUCGAGCCCAACGAUACAGUCUGUGUCCAAGGAGAAGUC